UCAGCUCACUGCAACCUCCACGUUCCGGGCUUGAGCAAUUCUCUUGCCUCAGCCUCCCAAGUAGCUGGGACUACAGGCACGUGCCAUCACACCUGGCUAAUUUUUGUAUUUUUAGUAGAGACAGGGUUUCACCAUGUUGCCCAGGCUGGUCUCAAACUCCUGGGCUCAAGUGAUCCACCCACCUCAGCCUCCCAAAGUGCUGGGAUUACAGGCGUGAGCCACCACACCCGGCCCUCGGCUUUUACAAUUUUAGAAAGGCUUAAGCAUAAAAUCCAAAUUUCCACCUCUUAAAAAAAAAAAAAAAAAAAAAAAAAAAAGAUGUGGUCUGUGUGGACCUGGAUUCUGGUGAGGCCAAUGCUAUGAGAUCUAAGGAGGGGAUCUAAAGGUGAAAGUCACCCUAAAAGGUGGACACUUGCUUUGACCUUUGGGGGAAAUGGUUCCUUUAUCCUUCAUUAUGGACUUCGUCAACAAAUUUAAAGCAACCGUGGUACACUUGAAAUACAGAUGCUUUAGGUAGAAAAUAAGAAAUCUCUCCUUUUAAGAUAAAAUAAACAUACGUCACAAAGAUCUCUAGAACGUAUAGCUGCUUUGGGGGAAGUUUUAUACCUGGUCCACUUCCCUAGUUAAUACUGUAUUAUCUACCCAUCCUCUAGAAGCCUCCAGAGGCUUCAGGUCUGUGAUACCAAAUCAUCUCCACUCCA
rnacentral:lncRNA from 1 species